UGGCAAGCCUGGUUCUCGUUGGCUUGUCGGCUGUGCUUCAAUUUUGGAUUCAGUUUUUUGCCGGCUUCAAACAGCCGCACAAGGUUGUUGGUUUUGAAUUUGUGUACAAAACAGUACGUGGGAUUGCCAAUAAUUAUUAGGAAACACGUGCGUUUUGGCACAGGUUCAAAACGGCCAUAAGCUGUCGACUAUCUAUGCUGAAAGUGGAUACUU